UGAUUCAGAGAAGAAAAGAAUGGAAAAUAAAUAGUAUAGUAAAAACAUGAGUCUUCUUAUUUUAAUUGACAGUGCAGGUGGUGGUCAGGACAUUACCAGCUUACAGAAGUCUAAUACAUCACACAGGUAAAUGGCAGUUGGUAAAUGUGAUGGUUAAUAUUGAGUGUCAACUUGAUUGGAUUGAAAGAUGCAAAGUAUUGUUCCUGGGUGUGUCUGUGAAGGUGUUGCCAAAGGAGAUUAACAUUUGAGUCAGUGGACUGGGAGAGGCAGACUCACCCUUAAUCUCGGUAGGCACCAUCUAGUCAGCUGCCAAAGUGGCUAGAAUAAAGCAGCAAGAGAAGAUGGAAGAGCAGAUUUGCCGAGUCUUCCAGCCUUCAUCUUUGUCUCAUGCUGGAUGCCUCCUGCCCUCAAACAUCAGACUCCAAGUUCUUCAGCUUUUGGACUCUUGGAUUGACACCAGCGGUUUGACAGGGGCUCUCGGGCCCUUGGAAACAGACUGUAAGUGCACAGUUGGCUUCCCGACUUUUGAGGUUUUGGGACUCUGACUGAUCCACCACCGGCUUCCUUGCUCCUCAACUUGCAGACGGCCUAUCAUGGGACUUAAACUUGUGAACAUAUCACACAAAGAAGAAGUCAUGUGAACACACAGCAAGAAUGUGGCAGCCUACAAGUCAAGAGAAGAGGCCCCAGAGUCUACCUUGCAGGCACCAUGAUCUUGGAUCUUCCAGUCUUCAGAACUGGUAAUCCAAGAUGGACCAGAAAUUCAGGAUCUUCACGGUUAACGUGGUGGCAGUCAGAAAGAAAUGCAAUAGAACUAAUUUAAGUUCUAGAUCAUGAUAGCCUGUGAUAUGGUUAUGAUCUGCUAUUGUUCGUGAUUUCCUGUACCAUCAUAUGACACAAUGAAGAGAUGACCAUGUGCAAACCACAUAGAGUACCCUUACCAGACACUAGAGCUGGCAGAAAUUUGAUCUUGGACUUCCCAGUCUCCAGAACUGUGAGAAAUAAAUGUUUGUUGUUUAUGAAACUUAGUCUAUGGUAUUCUGUUAUAUAGCAGCUUGAGCUGACUAAUGUGAUAUUAUUAAGUCAAGAAAAACAAUUGGAUAAUUUAUCAAGAUUAUUUUAUGGCAGACAAUUUAUUUCAACAUUACUUAAAAGCAUUGAAACUUUUCUAUGCUGAGAAUUACAGUGCUGCUGGUGAAAGUGGUGCUAGAGCUUGUGUGUGUGUCUGUGUGUGUGUCUAAUCGCAUUCAGGGAGCAUUUGUUUAGUCUGUUUUAAUGCUAUCAGAGCUAACAUUUGUGUAUGUUUGUUUUCUUUAUCUCAGCUCUGGCAAAUCCAUGAAAAACAGAUGAAAGCCAAAUCUUUCAUUAUUUCUAAAUCCCUGAUUAUGACAUAUUUCUCCUACAACGUGUCCCAAAAGAAUGAGAAAAGCAUCUGUAACUACGCACAGGUUAUGUUGUAGUCCCCUCAGUAGCAUUUUGUCCAUAUGGAGCUUAAUUCUGUAAACUACCUAUAACUAGGUAUAAAAUUCAGACAGAAAAUAGCAAUUUAUCACAAGUGUCCAGCUGGCUUCUUCUUCUAAGUGGUUAUUUCCUAAUCUGCAAUCCAGCCAUUCACUGCCCACUCACAUUUUUGAGCUAUAAAAUCAAUAAUAAAUAGCAAGAACAUUCCCUUGAGAGCUUAGCCAUGCAUUCCAACUGGG
rnacentral:lncRNA from 1 species